rnacentral:lncRNA from 1 species
GUACGAGCAAUGAAACUCAGACCACGGCCAAAUGGACACACAAAUGCAUAUGCACUUGGAAUUAAACUUGACACGCAUAGCCACAUCGAACCAAUCCUCUUCUUUCUCAUGGCUUUGGAUUCUGGUGCAGCGCAGAGUAAGUAGUGUACCCCGACGCCCGGCUCCGAUCGCGGCCCCCGUCCGCCACCGGCAUUGUCUCCGGCGCCGCCGCCGUCCCCUUGGAAUUGAGCUGAUCCGCACCCUCCGGCCACGGGGACUGACAGGGUACGUACGUGUUCAGCGGACAGUACUUUUUCUGCCAUAGGAACAACUUGCACUCCUCCGGCAACCUCUGGUCCGGAACUCCCGGAAUACAAUUCUUGCGCACGUCCAGCAUCCCUUUCUUUAACAAAGCCCAGCAGCUGGGCCCCAACGACGUAAAGUAGUUGUCAGACAGCGAUAAGUUCAUCAGGUUGCCAACCCCGGGGCUCCCCAGUCUGCACAGCACGUCAGGCACCUCGCCGUAGAGCUUGUUGUCCGCCAGGUUGAGCUGCUCGAUCUUCUUUAGGCACCCGAAGGAGAGCGGGAUCGGGCCGGUCAGCAGGUUCGUCCCCGCGUCGAACACCGUCGCCUUCUUCAGGAGGCCGAUCUCGUAGGGGAGGCAGCCAGAGAGCAGGUUGUUUAGGAAGAGCACUUCAAGGAGCGUGUUGGCCGCCUGGCCGAUCGAACUGGGAAUCGGCCCAGUGAACUUGUUGUUGGCGAGAGUGAGGUACUGCGCCGGGGUGAGGCCGAGGUCCGCGGGGAGCUGCCCCGUGAAGUUGUUGUUGUUCAGGAAAAGGACCUGCGCAUUGUUGAUUAGAAAAUAUUUAAACUUUCUCGUCCGUUAGUUUAACAUUUGGAAAACAAACAAUUCCUUCACAACCGGCCACGCAAGUGAUAAAAAAUUUAAUAAUUAAUAUUUGAGAUUUUAAAUUUAAAUCUUAAUUAAUCUAUAUUUUUAACUAAAUUUAUUUUUUAAAAAAUAAAUAAAACGGAUAGCAUAAAUAGUGACUAUUUUGUUCUUAUAGUAUUCACCGCAACACGUCAUCGCCAUGAAAAAAGAGGAGAGGAUAAAAAAGAUGACGGAAAGUAAAUUUAGCUAGAAAUAUGAAUCAACUAAAAUUCGAAUUUGAAACCUCGGGUACCAACUACUAAAUCUUUUGCUACUUAUACUAGGGACAAUCGAUAACGGGACUCAAUAUUAAAAUACAUAUUAUAUAUAUAAAGAAUAAGAAAAUUAGUUAACUUAUAGUUAUCUAGAUUUUAUUAACAUAAAGAUAUGUUUACAAACGUAAAGAAUUUUGAAGGAAUAAAUCUGAAAACAAAAAUUUUGUAAGAAUAUAUAUUUAUUAUUUAAUAUUUUUAUAGAAAAGCAUAGGCAAUUAUUCUAUAAGAUAAAACUGUAUGGAGACCAGUCAAUACAGUUCAUUCCGGAAUUGCCUGUCGAAUCUUUUCCUCUUUUCCUUGUUUUGGAUUGGCGCCACCUAAUUUUUUUCUGUUUUCUUUGUUUUGGAUCGAAAUAGCGAACUGAUUUUUUUUCUUUUAUUUUUUCCUUUUGGAAUUGGCACCGGAUUCUGCGGAAUAGAAUGUCCUACAGUUGAGUGGGCCAUCAUACAUUUUUAACCUUUACAUAAAGUAACAAAAUGCUUUGCUUUAUAUCGAAAAGUAAAGCAUAGUUGUUACGCAUGUCUAUUUAAAGAUUUAAAUAACUAUUAUUAAAGAAAUUAAUAAAGUUAAUAUGAAAUAUAUUUUAAGUAUACAGAUGCAAAGUCAUUUUACUCUUUGCAUAUAUGUUUAAGCUUUUAAGAGAAAUGGAAUGUUACCGCACCUGUAACAUGCUGAGCACGAAGACCUGCGGGGGGACGGCGCCGACGUAACCGUUGAAGCGGAGGUCGAGGAAGGUGGCGUUGUUGAGGCAGAGGACGUCGGCGGGGAAGGCGCCAGUGAGCUUGUUGUUGCUGACGUCGAGCUCGUAGAAGAAUCGCAGGCCGCUGAGGUCGGGCACCGUGCCCCCGAAGUUGUUGGAGUUGGCGUGGAAGAGCGCGAGGUCGGGCAACUGGUCGACGAAUCCGCAGACGGUGGGGGCGCCGAGCCGGUAUCCGUUGAAGUCGACGGAGGCGACCGUCGGCGUGUUUACGCGGUUCGGCGGCGUCUCGCAGAAGAAUCCGAGAUAGGAAGUCUUACUGCAGAUGUCGGUGCCCGCCCACGUAUUGGUGAUGCCCUGUGGGUCGGAGGUGAUGGUUCCCCUGAAUCGCUGGAUUACGAGGUAGGCGUUGUACAGCAGAACGUUCGGAAAGCAGGCCUGUGUUAUCGGCCCGUUGGGAGUGCAGGGGGGAGGCGGGGGAGGGGUACAGGGACAGCCCGAUCCGGGAGGGGACGGGCUGCCUCCCCCGCCGCCGCCCCCGCCCCCGCCAAUUCCGAUUCCUAUUCCGAUUUCGAUCGCCUUGCGGCUACUCGUGACGUUGAAAUGACGUCCAAAGCUGAAAUUCAGAAAUGUCGUCAGAAGAAGCAGUUGCAGGAAGAAACAAACGAGAUGGAAAGCCAUCGGCGUGGGAAAACGAUUGAAGCGUCGAUUGAGCAACUGCUUAUGAUGAUGUAUAGAAAACAAUUGGGGGAGGAUCCGUGAGGCGUUGAGCCACUGAUUCGGACUGAGAUAUAAGUAGCAAAGUAGCUGUAAAAUGCCCCCCAGGGACAAAAAAAUGGAAGAAGACGCCGUUCACACUGGUGGUUGCGAUGGCAUUAUCGAUCGCCACUUUUGCUUUCUUCGUCGCCGUACGUGUUCUUAUUGAUCUGACGAGAGAUGCAAACGAGAAAAAGAAUUAUAAGUUUUAAAGAUUAGUUUUUAGCCGUUGAUGUGCUGUAUCGGAGGGCGGAGGAUGAAGCUGAGCCAUCUCAGUUAGGCCGAUGGCUUGACUCGCCACUUUGUACUGUACAUAGACCACGUGCCGCGUUUUACUCGUUUGGAAGCUCAGUGUGUCUGUGUGAGUGUUUGUAUGUUUUUUUUUUUUUUUUUAAAGGGGAAGGCGCGUAGGAAAAAUUCUAGAAUGCAACGGGUAUAUUAGUGACGUGGUGUAACAAACCAAUCAAAUUAAUCCUUUUAAAAAUAUAUGUCCCAUCAUGAUUGUAAAAAAAUAUUUUUAUUGUAUUUUUGUUUAAAAAGAAGGAAUGUGAUUGGCUUGUUAUUGAUGACGUGGUGCAAGUGUGACAGUGUAGAAUUCCUCGGCGCGUAGGCCCCAGCGUCUGCAAUUACGCUCUGCGAAAUCAGAAGAGUACGAGGAGUAGUGCUACCGACACUGGGCAUAAUUUUGUAGAUUUUAAUUAAUCAUUUUAUAAAUAUAAAUAGUUAUAUAUUAUAUAUAUAUACUAUAUAUAUAUAUAUAUAUAUAUAUAUAUAUAUAUAUAUAAUUGAGUUUCUAUGUUUUUAAAAGUACUAAGUUAUUGAUUUAUAAUUUUUAGCCAUUAGAUUAAGAGACAUGCGGUUAGGAUGAUAUGACCUCCUAGGGUUGAGUGAGCGAUUGGUUGAAUAGUAUAAUCUAAUGUUGAAAAUGAUCCAGAUGAGUAAAUCUAAGGUAAAAAUUUACAACGCACCAAGUACUUUGUGCUUUUACAAGCACCAUAGCUGGACUAUAAUAUUAUAUAUAUAUAUUAAUAUAUAUAUAAUAUUAUAUAAUAUAUAUAUUAUAUAUAUAUAUAAUACGACUGGAAUACUAUCAACAGCACCAAUCUAUUAGUGCUAUUAGUUGUUUACUCUUUAUUAAAGAAAUGUGCGGUUAGAAUAAUGUGCGCCUAGGAUGAGUGGGUGAUCGUUGAAUAUAGAAUCUAACGGAUAAAAAUAAUCAAAGAAUUAAAUCUAACGUGGAAAAUACGAUGUACCAACCCUUUGAUGCUAUCGAUAGUAUCCUACCGGACUAUAUAUUUGAUGCUAUCGAUAGUAUCCUAGCCGGACUAUAUAUUUCGACAUCAUUUACCUUACGAUCAAGAGUCACAAUUUGAUAAUUUUUAACGGCCGUAUCGAAAUUACUGGCUAGUUUAACGGUGUAAAAAAAUCGAAAUCGUUGAAUUUUUGAUAGAAAAUUCUAUCACUACAUAGAUAAAGAUUAAUAACUCCGAUCUUGAAAUGAAGGAUCCGAUCAUCUUUUUUAAGACGUCUUUCGAUUUUGACCGUCAUUUUAUGCCCACUUGAUGGACUUUAUUAUGAUUUCGAAAAUUUACGAAAUUUAUUUUCUAGAAGUUUCAAACACUCUAGAUCAUAUUUAACGGAGUGGAUCGUCGAUUUGGAAGCCCAUCAUCGAAAACAACUUAUGAGUACGAGGGCUCUAAUACUCAUAUAUAUAAUAAUAUAUAUAUAUAUAUAUAUAUAUAUAUAUAUAUAUAUAUAUAUCAUAUAUAAAGAGAGACAGACGAGCGAGAAGAGAGGAGAGAGAGAGAGUUGGACUGGCUCUAUUAUAGUAGCAAAAUUUCAUUGUUACCACAGUUUUUAGCCUUUGGAUCAAUUCUUUUCAUUAUUUCUAACCAUUGGAUUAAAUACUAAAAUCUAGUGGGACCACUCACCCUAGGGGACCACUCAACUCUAACUGACUAAUAUCAUCCUAACGAUAUAUAUUUUCUCAUCCAAGGGUUAAACUUGAUAGCAAAAAGAGCGUUUUUAUUAUUAUAGUAUUCCAGCUCUAAUUAUAUAUAAUAUUAUUAAUAUAUAUAUAUAUAAUAUAUAAUAUAUAUAUAUAAUAUAUAUAUAUAGGGUUGCUCGUCCUAAGGAGCACGGGCCUCCGUGCCUUCUGAGCCAUUUUGACUGAUAUAGAAUUUUCAAAUUCGACGAUCAGCCUCCGUUAGACUUGAUCUAGCGCAUUUGAAGUUUCUAGAAAAUAAUUUUUGUGAUUUUUUGAUAUCAUUUACCUAUGUGAUCGAAAGGAUUCAAAAUCUAUAAUUUUAAUGGUUGAUAUCUGCCGUUUCCAAGUUUAACGUGUAGAAGUUUUCAAAUAAGAUGAAAUUCNNNNNNNNNNNNNNNNNNNNNNNNNCCUUUCGUUCAAAACAAGCCCAGCAGCUGCGCCCAACGACGUAAAAGUAUUGUCAGACAUGCGAUAGUUCAUCAGGUUGCCAACCGCGGGCGUCCCCAGUCUGCCACAGCACGUCAGGCGACCUCGCCGUAGAGCUUGUUUGUCCGCCAGUGUUGAGCUGGCUCGAUCUCUUUAGGCACCGAAGGAGAGCGGCAUCGGGCGUUACAAGGCAGGUUCGUCCCGCGUGAUGACCCGUCCCUUUCUUCAGGAGGCCGAAUCUUCGUAGGGGAAGGCAGCCAGAGAGCAGGUUGUUUAGAAGAGCAACUUCAAGAGCGUGUUGGCCGCCUGGUCCGAAUGAACUUGGGAUCGGCCAGUGAACUUGGUUUUGGCGAGAGUGACGUUACUGCGCCGGGGUGAGGCGAGGUCCGCGGGGAGCUGCCCUUGAAUUUGUUUGUUGUUCAGAAAAGGAACCUGCGCAUUGUUGAUUAGAAAAUAUUAAACUUUUCUCGUCGUUAGUUUAACAUUUUGGAAAACAAACAAUUCCUUCCAACGGCACGCAAGUGAUAAAAAAUUUAAUAAUUAAUAUUUGAGAUUUUAAUUUAAAUCUUAAUUAAUUAUAUUUUUAACUAAAUUUAUUUUUAAAAAAUAAAUAAAACGGAUAGCAUAAAUAGUGACUAUUUGUUCUUAUAGUAUUCACCGCAACACGUCAUCGCCAUGAAAAAAGAGGAGGAGGGAUAAAAAAGAUGACGGAAAGUAAAUUUAGCUAAAAUAGAAUAUGAAUCAACUAAAUUCGAUUUGGAACCUCGGGUACCAACUACUAAAAUCUUUUGCUACUUAUACUAGGGACAAUCGAUAACGGACUCAAUAUUAAAUACACAUAUUUAUAUAUAUAAAAGAAUAGAAAAUUAGUUAACUUAUAGUUAUCUUAGAUAUUUAUUAACAUAAGGAUAUGUUUACAAAGUAAAGAAUUUUGAAGAAUAAAUCUGAAAACAAAAAUUUUGUAAGAAUUAUAUAUUUAUAUAUUUAAUUAUUUAUAGAAAAAAGCAUAGGCAAUUAUUCUAUAAGAAAAACUGAUGUGAGGAGCCAUCAAUACUUUCAUCCCGUUCAUUCGGAAUUGCCUGUCGAAUCUUUUCCUCUUUUCCUUGUUUUGGAUUGGCGCCACCUAAUUUUUCUGUUUUCUUUGUUUGGAUCGAAAUAGCGAACUGAUUUUUUUUCUUUUAUUUUCCUUUUGGAAUUGCGCACCCGAUUCGCGCGAAUUAGAAAUGUCCUACAGUUGAGUGGGCAUCAUACAUUUUAACCUUUACAUAAAGUACAAAAGCUUUGCUUUAUAUCGAAAGUAAACAGAUAGUUGUUACGCAUGUGUAUUUAAAGUUUAAAUAACUAUUAUUAAAAGAAAUUAAUAAAGUUAAUAUGAAAUAUAUUUUAAGUAUACAGAUGCAAAGUCAUUUUACUCUUUGCAUUAUAUGUGUUAAGCUUUUAGAGAAAUGGAAUGUUUACCGCACCUGUAACAUGCUGAGCACGAAGACUGCGGUCGGGGACGGACGCCGACGUAACCGUUGAAGCGGAGGUCGAGGAAGGUGGCGUUGUUGAGGCAGAGGACGUCGCGGGGAAGGCGCCAGUGAGCUUGUUGUUGUUGACGUCGAGCUCGUAGAAGAAUCGCAGGCCGCUGAGGUCGGCACCGUGCCCCGAAGUGUUGGAGUUGGCGUGGCAGAGGCGCGAGGGUCGGGCAAUCUGGUCGACGAUCCGCAGCGCGAGGUGGGCGCCGAGCCGGUAUCCGUUGAAGUCGACGGAGGCGACCGGUCGGCGUGUUUACGCGGUUCGGCGGCUUGCGUCUCGCAGAAGAAUCCGAGUAGGAAGUUUACUGCAGAUGUCGGUGCCGCCCACGUAUUGGUGAUGCCCUUGUGGCGGAGGGUGAUGGUUCCCUGAAUCGCUGGAUUACGAGGUAGGCGUUGUACAGCCGAACGUUCGGAAAGCAGGCCUGUGUUAUCGGCCACGUUGGGAGUGCAAGGGUGACGGCGGGAGGGGUACAGGGACAGCCCAUCCGGGAGGGGACGGGCUGCCUCCCCGCCGCCGCCCCGCCCCGCCAAUUCCGAUUCCUAUUCCGAUUUCGAUCGCCUUGCGGCUACUGUGACGUUUGAAAUGACGUCCAAAGCUGAAAUUCAGAAAUCGUCAGAAGAAAGCAGUUGCAGGAAGAAACAAACGAGAUGGAAAGCCAUCGGCGUGGGAAAACGAUUGAAGCGUCGAUUGAGCAACUGCUUAUGUAUGAUGUAUAGAAACAUUUGGGGAGGAUCCGUGAGGCGUUGAGCCACUGAUUCGGACUGAAUAUAAGUUAGCAAAGUAGCUUGUAAAUGCCCUCGGGACAAAAAAUGGAAGAGACGCCGUUCACACUGUGGUGGUGCGAUGGCAUUAUCGAUCGCCACUUGUUUGCUUUCUUCGUUCGCCGUACGUGUUCUUAUUGAUCUGACGAGAGAUGAAACAGAGAAAAGAAUAUAUAAGUUUUAAAGAUUAGUUUUUAGCCGUUGAUGUGCUGUAUCGGAGGGCGGAGGAUGAAGCUGAGCCAUCUCAGUUAGCGCCGAUGGCUUGACGCCACUUUGUACUGUACAUAGACACGUGCCGCGUUUUUACUCGUUUGAAGCUCAGUGUGUCUGUGUGAGUGUUUGUAUGUUUUUUUUUUUUUUUUUAAGGGAAGGCGCGUAGGAAAAAUUCUAAGAAUGCAACGGGUUUAUUAGUACGUGGUGUAACAACCAAUCAAAUUAAUCCUUUUAAAAAAUAUAUGUCCAUCAUGAUUGUAAAAAAAUUUUUAUUGUAUUUUGUUUUUAAAAGAAGGAAUGUGAUUGGCUUUUAGUUGAUGACGUGGUACGUGCAAGUGUGGACAGUGUAGAAUUUCCUCGGCGCGUAGGCCCAGCGUCUUGCAAUUACGCUCUGCGAAAUCAGAGAGUACGAGAGUAGUGCUUACGACACUGGGCAUAAUUUUGUAGAUUUUAAUUAAUCAUUUUAUUUAUAAAUAGUUUAAAUUAUAUAUAUAUAUAUAUAUAUAUAUAUAUAUAAUAUAUAUAAUAUAUAUAUAUAAUGAGUUUCUAUGUUUUUAAAAGUACUAAGUUAUUAUGUUUAUAAUUUUUAGCCAUUAGAUUAGAGGACAUGCGGUUAGGAUGAUUAUGACCUUAGGGUUGAGUGAGCCGAUUGGUUGAAUAGUAUUAAUCUAAUGAUUGCAAAAUUGAUCCAAUGUGAGUAAAUCUAACGGCUAAAAAAUUUACAAGCCACCAAGUACUUGUGCUUUUAAAAGCACCAUAGCUGACUAUAUAUAUUAUAUAUAUAUAUUAUAUAUAUAUAUUAUAUAUAUAUAUAUUAUAUUAUAUAUAUAUAUAACUAGACGGAAUACUAUCAACAGCCACCAAUCUAUUAGUGUAUAUUAGUUGUUUAGCUCUUUUAUUAAGAAAUGUGCGGUUAGAAUAAUGUGGCCUCUAGGAUUGAGUGGUGUGAUCGUUAUGAAUAGAAUCUAACGGAUAAAAAUUAAUCAAAGAAUUCAAAUCUAACGUUGUGAAAAUUCACGAUAGUACCAACCCUUUGAUGCUAUCGAUAGUAUCCUAGUCCGGACUAUAUAUUUUGAUGCUAUCGAUAGUUAUCCUAGCCGGACUAUAUAUUUUCGACAUCAUUUAACCUUCCGAUCAAGAGGUCACAAUUUGAUAAUUUUUAACGGCCGGUAUCGAAUACUGCUAGUUUAACGGUGUAAAAAGAAUCGAAAUCGUUGAAUUUCUGAUAGAAAAUUCUAUCUACAUAGAUAAAGAUUAAUAACUCGCAUCUUGAAAUGAAGGAUCCGAUCAUCUUUUUUAGACGUCUUUCGAUUUUGACCGUUCAUUUUAUGCCCACUGAUGGACUUUAUUAUUGAUUUCGAAAAUUUCGAAAUUUAUUUUCUAGAAGUUUCUAAACACUCUAGAUCAUAUUUAACGGGUGUGAUCGUCGAUUUGGAAGCACCAAUCAUCGAAAACAACUUAUGAUACGAGGGCUCUAAUACUCAUAUAUAUUAUUAUAUAUAUAUAUAUAUAUAUUUAUAUAUAUAUAUAUAUAUAUAUAUAAAGAGAGAGACGACGGAUGCGAGAGAGAAGGAGACGAGAAGAGAGAGAGUUCGACUGGGCUACUAUUAGUAGCAAAAUUUCAUUGUUACUACCAGUUUUUAGCCUUUGGAUCAAUCUUUUCAUUAUUUCUAACCAUUGGAUUAAAUACUAAAUCUAGUGGGACCACUCACCCUAGGGGACCACUCAACUCUAACUGACUAAUAUCAUCCUGACGAUAUAUUUUUUCAUCCCAAGGGUUAAAAACUUGAUAGCAAAAAAGCGUUUUUAUUAAUAGUAUUCCAGCCUAAUUAUAUAAUAUAUAUAUUAUAAUAUAUAUAUAUAUAAUAUAUAUAUAUUAUUAUAUAUUAUAUAAUAACAAGGGUGGUGCUGAUUCUAAGGAGCACGGGCCUCCGUGCUUCUGAGCCAUUUUCGAUGAUUAGAAUUUCAAAUUCGGGAUCAGUCCGUUAGAUUGAUCUAGCCCAUUUGAAGUUUCUAGAAAUAAUUUUUGUGAUUUUUUGAUAUCAUUUACUAGCUGGAUCGAAAGGAUUCAAAAUCUAUAAUUACAUAAUUUUUAAUGGUUGAUAUCUGCCGUUUUCAAGUUUAGCGGUGUAGAAGUAUUCAAAUCAGAUAAAAUUUUGAUACAAAAUUCUUUAUACUAUCUAUAACAAGAUAAAUAUUUCUGAUCGAAAAUUUUAGUGCUAUAUCAUCACUUUUUAUAGGAUUUUUAUUUUCAGCCGUUAAAAAUUAUUGAUUUUGAAUCCUUUCGAUUGCUAGGUAAAUGAUAUCGAAAAAUUGCAAAAAUUAUUUUCUAGAAACUUCAAAUUCGCUAGAUCAAGUUUAACGGAGCCGAUCGUCGAUUCGGAAACUCCAUCAUAGUAAACUGCUCAAGAGCACGGAGGCCUCCGUGCUCCUGAGAGCACAGCAGCCCUGCUAUAUAUAUAUAGUACGGCUGGUAUGCUUCUGGAAGCACGAAGCGCUCCAUGCUUCCAAGUCGUUUUCGAUAUUGGGACUUUCGAAUCAACGAUCAGCUCCGUUAGACUUGAUCUAGAGUAUUUUAAGUAUCUAGAAAAUAAAUUUUACAAUUUUUCGAUAUCAUUUGCCUAGUGAUUGAAAUGGCUCAAAAUCAACGGCUAAAAAAUAUAAAAAUCUUACAAAAUAUGAUGAUAUGGCAUUAAAAUUUUAGAUCAAAAAUUUGAUCUUGUUCAAUAUAGUAUAAAAAAAUUUUCUAUCAAAAUUUCACGUGAUUUGGAUAUUUCUGUACGGUUAAACUUGCAAACAGCUCACCACGGCCAUUAAAAUUAUUAAUUUUGAGCCCCUUCGAUCACUAGACAAAUGAUAUUGAAAAAUCACAAAAUUUAUUUUCUAGAUACUUCAAAUACUCUAGAUUAAGUCUAACGGAGCCGAUCGUCGAUUCGAAAAUCCCAACAUCGAAAAUGACUUGGAAGCAUGGCAGGCUCCGUGCUUCCAAAAGCAUACCAGCUCACUCUCUCUCUCUCAUAUAUAUAUAUAUAUAUAAUUGAGCUUCUAUGCUUUUAAAAGUACCAAGUCAUUCGUACUUGUAAGUUUUUGGCGCUUGGAUUAAGGGAUGUGCGGUUAGGAUGAUGUGGGCCCUCUAGGGUUGAAUGGUUAGUUGGUUGAUUAGUAUAAUAUAACGGGUGAAAAUGAUUAAAGGCGUAGAUCUAACGGUAAAAAAUUCACAAGCACUAAGUGCUUAGUGCUUUUACAAGCACCAUAACCGGACUAUAUAUAUAUAUAUNAUGUCACUUAGAUUGCAAAACAAAGCAGAACUAAUAGCAGAAGAGAAUAUUUCACAUCAAGCAUUUUAGUGCAUGUUUGUAUGUUAGCAUCAAGCAGAAAAAUUUAAAGCAACAACAGCAUACAUUCUUUCAUCAUUAAGGUUCAUGAAUAGAACUUUAUAUCUUGACCAUGGUUCAGACAGUCAGAAUUAUAACCAAGCCACUCUUUCAAUUUCUUAAUUUUAUAUAUAUUAUCUCCUUUAAGAAAUAUAUAUAUAUAUAUAUAUAGAAUUAGGCUGGAAUACUAUUAAUAGUAAAACACUCUUUUUGCUAUCAAGUUUUUAACCCUUGGAUGAAAAAUUAUAGGGUCAGGAUGAUAUUAGUCGGUUAGAGCUGAGUGGUCCCCCUAGGGUUGAGUGGUCCCCACUGGGUUAUAGUAUUUAAUCCAAUGGUUAGAAAUAAUGAAAAGAGUUUAUCCAAAGGCUAAAAAACUGGUAGCAACAAUGGGAUUUUGCUACUAAUAGUAGCCCAGUCCAAACUCUCUCUCUCUCUCUCUCUCUCUCUCUCUCUCUCUCUCUCUCUCUCUCUCUCUAUAUAUAUAUAUAUAUAUAUAUGUUACUAUACUAUCGAUAGUAUCAAGUGCUUGGUACUAUCGAGUUUUUGGCCAUUGGAUGAAAGGAUGUGUGGUUAGAAUGAUAGUAUUUUCCUCAGGUUGAGUGGAUGGUUGGCUGAAUAGUAUAAUCUAACGGGUGGAAAUAAUCAAUGGGUAAAUCUAAUGGUAGAAAACUCAAUAGUACCAAGAACUUGGUACUAUCGAUAGAAAGGAUUUAAGUGCCGUGACACGGGAUCGUGCCGAAAACUUGUUGGUACGGUACGGCAUGGUGCGUGCCGGAACGUACCGAUGCUUGCCGAUCACAAAAAAAUCAUUGUGUGCCGAUACAUAAUAGCAUGAAUAUUUAUUUUCUUUAGCAACAUAAUAUUCUAAUUGUUUAUUAUGUAUUUUUAUCAAAUCAUUUCAACUUUAAUGAAUAAAUUACUUACUAAUUUAAAGAAUACAGAGCUUUGAGUUGUGCCAUCGCCACUGGCCUGUAUCGUGCCAAUAUUUUGUGCCGAUAUUUUAUUGGCACGAUACGGCACGGUAAAUAGAUUUAGAUAUUAAUUAGAGUCCGGCUACUAUACUUUUAUAAGUAUAGACUACUUUAUACUCAUAAGUUUUUGGCCGUUAGAUCUAGCCCUUUGAUCAUUUCCUCCAGUUAGAUAAUACUAUUCAACUAACCAUCCACUCAACCCUAGGGGACCACUAUCAUCAUAACCGAGGACCACUAUUAUCCUAACCACACAUCGCUUCAUCCAACGGUCAAAAAACUUAUGAGUACAAAGAGGCAUAUACUUUAUACUUAUAAGAGUAUAAUAGUCAUAUAUAUAUAUAUAUAUAUAUAUAUAUAUAGAGAGAGAGAGAGAGAGAGAAAGAGAGAGAGAGAGAGAGAGAGAGAGAGAGAGAGAGUCCGACUACUAUACUAUUGAUAGUAUCAAGUCCUUGAUACUAUUGAUUUUUUUACCAUUAGUUCUACCCUUUGAUCAUUUCCACCCGUUAGAUUAUACUAUUAAACCAACCACCCACUCAACCCUAGAGGAUCACUAUCAUCCUAACUGCACAUCCUUUCAUCUAGAUGUGUUCCUCAUAGCAGCCGUCGCAGUCUACACAUAUUCUCUGACGAUGAUAUGAUAGUUAUCAUGGUUCGGGAUUACANNNNNNNNNNNNNNNNNNNNNNNNNNNNNNNNNNNNNNNNNNNNNNNNNNNNNNNNNNNNNNNNNNNNNNNNNNNNNNNNNNNNNNNNNNNNNNNNNNNNNNNNNNNNNNNNNNNNNNNNNNNNNNNNNNNNNNNNNNNNNNNNNNNNNNNNNNNNNNNNNNNNNNNNNNNNNNNNNNNNNNNNNNNNNNNNNNNNNNNNNNNNNNNNNNNNNNNNNNNNNNNNNNNNNNNNNNNNNNNNNNNNNNNNNNNNNNNNNNNNNNNNNNNNNNNNNNNNNNNNNNNNNNNNNNNNNNNNNNNNNNNNNNNNNNNNNNNNNNNNNNNNNNNNNNNNNNNNNNNNNNNNNNNNNNNNNNNNNNNNNNNNNNNNNNNNNNNNNNNNNNNNNNNNNNNNNNNNNNNNNNNNNNAAGAUAAUACCACGAACAUUUCCAUGGUUUGUUAUAUAUAUAUAUAUAUAUAUAUAUAUAAAAUAAAGCUACUGUACUAUCUAUAGUACCAGAGCUCCAGUACUACAGUCUCGUUUUCGAUCUUAGGGUGUUCUAAAUAACGAUUCACACGUUAAAUAUGAUCUAGAGUAUAUUAAGUUCUUAGAAAUAAAGUUUUAGUUUUUCUCGACAUCGUUUACUUAGUAAGUAAAUUAUGUCAAAAUAAACGGUGAAAAUUAAAUAAUUUUUAAAAUUUGAGUAUAGGACUUUUAAAUUGUUGAUCUUGGUUUGAAUAGUUUAAAGUAUUUUCUACCAAAAUUGGAAGAAAUUUAGAUUCUUCUACACCGUUAAACUCCAAACUCGUCAUAGUAGCAAUUGAAAAUUUGCAAUUUUAAAAUGGUUUGAUAAUAAAGUAAACUAUGUCGAAAAAUAUAAAAUUUUAUUUCUAAAAACUUUAAAUAUGUUAGAUCAGUUUUAAUGGUGUGGAUCGUUGAUUCGAACACCCUAAAAUUGAAAACAAGAUUAUAGUACCGAAGCCCCGGUACUAUAGAUAUUAUAAGACCCUAGCGCUCUCUCUCUCUCUCUCUCUUUCUCUCUCUACACACACACACACCAAAAAGGUCGUAUAAAUCUUACACCCUCCAUCCUAAAUCUGAUAAAAAUUUAAAUAAUUUUUAGUAAAAAUAAAAAAAUUAAUGUGAUAAAUACAGUAUUAAGAGCCUUGGGAUAGAAUGGGUGUAAAAUAUACACCCUACUAUGAAAUGUUCCUGUAGCAGUGAUAUAUAUAUAUAUAUAUAUAUAUAUAUAUAUAUAUAUAUAUAUAUAUAUAUAUAUAUAUAUAGAUAGAAUUAGGCCGGAAUACUGUUAAUAGUAAAACGCACUUUUUGCUAUCAAGUUUUUAACCCUUGGAUGAAAAAUUGUAGGGUCAGGAUGAUUUUAGUCAGUUAGAGUUGAGUGGUCCCUCUAGGGUUGAGUAGUCCCCACUGGGUUAUAAUAUUUAAUCCAAUGGUUAGAAAUAAUGAAAAGAGUUGAUCCAAAGGCUAAAAAACUGGUAGCAAUAAUGGGAUUUUGCUACUAAUAGUAGCCCAGAGUCCAACUCUAUAUAUAUAUAUAUAUAUAUAUAUAUAUAGAGANUAGUGCUAUAUCAUCACUUUUUGUAGGAUUUUUAUUUUCAUCCGUUAAAAACAAGACUAUAGUACCGGAGCUCCGGUACUAUAGAUAGCAUAGUAGCCUAAUUCUAUAUAUAUAUAUAUAUAUAUAUAUAUAUAUAUAUAGAGAGAGAGAGAGAGAGAGAGAGAGAGAGAGAGAGAGAGUCCGGCUACUAUACUAUUGAUAGUACCAAGCCUUUGGUACUAUAAAGUUUUCUACCGUUAGAUCUACCAUGUGAUCAUUUCCACCCGUUAGAUUAUACUAUUAAACCAACCACCCACUCAACCCUAGGGGACCACUAUCAUCCUAACCGCACAUCCUUUCAUCCAACGGCCAAAAGCUCAAUAGUACGAAGGGCUUGGUACUAUUAAUAGUAUAGGAGCAUAUAUAUAUAUAUAUAGAGAGAGAGAGAGUCUGGCUACUAUAUUUUUAUGAGUAUUGGCUCCCUUAUACUCAUAAGUUUUCGGCUCUUAGAUUUAUUCUAUUGAUCAUUUUCACCCGUUAGAUCAUACUAUUCAACCGACUACCCACUCAACCCUAGAGGACAAUUAUCAUUCUAAGUGGGGACCACCAUUAUCCUAACCACACAUCCCAUCAAUCAACGGUUAAAAAUUUAUGAGUACAAGAGAGUCUCUACUCAUAAUAGUAUGUAGCCCCAGCCUAUAUAUAUAUAGGCUAGGGCUACUAUACUCAUAUGAGUAUAGAGUACUCCGUACUCAUAAGUUGUUUUCAAUAAUGGAGCUUCUGAAUCGACGAUCCACUCCGUUAAAUAUGAUCUAGAGUAUUUUAAACUUUUAGAAAACAAAUUUUGUAAUUUUUCGAAAUCAUAAUAAAGUUCAUCAAGCGAGUAUAAAAUGAACAGUCAAAAUCGAACGACGUGCUAAAAAUGGAUGAUCGGAUCCUUCAAUUUAAGAUCGGAGUUAUUGAUCUUUAUCCAGGUAGUGAAUAGAAUUUUCUAUAAAAUAUUCAACCUAUUCCGAUUCUUUUACACCGUUAAACUAGCAAGUAUCCCAUACCGGCCGUUAAAAAUUGCCAAUUUUGUGACCUUUUGAUCGUAAGGUAAAUGAUAUAAAAUUUGAUUUCUCGUCGUUUUAAAUGCUCUAGAUAACGUUUAACGGUGUGGAUCGUCGAUUCGGAAGCUCAAUUAUGGAAAACAACUUAUGAGUACGAGGGCGAUCAUUUUGAAGUUACUCGUUCACUAGGCAAACAAAGUCAAAAAAUUAUGAAAUUUUGUUUCUAGAUAGUUCAAAUAGCAUAGAUCAUAUUUAACGGAACCGAUCGCCAAAUCAGAAGUCCCAUCAUCGAAAACAAAUUACAAGUACGGAGGCCUCCGUACUUUCGAAAGCAUCGGAGCCUAACUAUAUAUAUAUAUAUAUAUAUAUAUAUAUAUAUAUAUAUAUAUAGGGUCCGGCUACUAUACUAUUAUGAGUACGAUCGCCCUCAUACUCAUAAGUUGUUUUCGAUGAUAGAGCUUCCGAAUCGACGAUCCACACCGUUAAACAUUAUUUACAGCAUUUAAAACUUCUAGAAAUCAAAUUUUAUAAUUUUUCGACAUCAUUUACCUUANNNNNNNNNNNNNNNNNNNNNNNNNNNNNNNNNNNNNNNNNNNNNNNNNNNNNNNNNNNNNNNNNNNNNNNNNNNNNNNNNNNNNNNNNNNNNNNNNNNNNNNNNNNNNNNNNNNNNNNNNNNNNNNNNNNNNNNNNNNNNNNNNNNNNNNNNNNNNNNNNNNNNNNNNNNNNNNNNNNNNNNNNNNNNNNNNNNNNNNNNNNNNNNNNNNNNNNNNNNNNNNNNNNNNNNNNNNNNNNNNNNNNNNNNNNNNNNNNNNNNNNNNNNNNNNNNNNNNNNNNNNNNNNNNNNNNNNNNNNNNNNNNNNNNNNNNNNNNNNNNNNNNNNNNNNNNNNNNNNNNNNNNNNNNNNNNNNNNNNNNNNNNNNNNNNNNNNNNNNNNNNNNNNNNNNNNNNNNNNNNNNNNNNNNNNNNNNNNNNNNNNNNNNNNNNNNNNNNNNNNNNNUUAUUAUUAUUAUUAUUAUUAUUAUUAUUAUUUGUAAAUUAAAUAUAUUAAAAUUAUAUUAUAUAAUAAAUUGAUAUAAGUAUAUAAUAUAAUAUAUAUCAUAGUAUGUAUAUAAUACUAUAUGUAUUGUAUAAUAAAAAUAUAAAAUAUAUAUAGAACUAGGCGAGAAUACUAUCAAUAGUACCAAGCUAUUGGUGGUAUUGAUUUUUUAGCCCUUAGAUUGAGAAAUGGGUGGUUAGGUUGAUGUGGGCCUCCUAGGGUUGAGUGAGUGGUUGGUUGAAUAGUAUAAUCUAACGGAUAAAAAUAAUCAGAGGGUUAAAUCUAACGGUGGAAAACUCGAUAGCACCAAAUCCUUGGUACUAUCGAUAAUACCCCAGUCGACCCCUAUAUUAUUCACCCAAAAAAAUGGGAUAGUAAUUUUUGUAUGCUCGUAUAGUGGUCUCUCACACCCUCGCACGCUCGGUCAAAAAGAAAAAAAAAAAAAAAAACUACGACAGAAAACGCUCGCCUCUCCCCAAAAAGAAAACACUUCUCACUCAAAGUAUGCCCUAGCCCCCCUCUGUCACGUCCCGGAUUACUCGUUUCCCCUGCACGCCAACAGACCCGCCGUAUACAAAAGAAUUUCCUCUGUAUAUGAAGCGAUAGCUGUAAUUGUACAUGUAAUCAUACAAAACUACAACUAGGAGUAUAAAGCUACUAAUAGAACUGUAAACAAAUAUAAAUAACCAUCAGGUUCACUACACAUACAUAGUCUCCAGGAUACAUACAUGACUCGCUCCAGUGAGUAUCUAACAUCAAUAUGUACAUGAACAAAAAAUCAAAACUAUCUGUAGCUGGUACUCCUCUAGAACAGCAACAAGGCUGGAAGGGAUCUAGCUCGCAACUCUCUUUCCACGAUCAGUAGCUGUGACAGUAGCAGCCGCAUAAGAAGGCUCUGCAAAAAGGGGGUCAACAACUAGGUGUGAGAACUAUUGCAAAAAGUAGUCCUCAGUGGGUGCCACUACCGACCUCAACAGCUCACCCACUAAGUCUACAGAAAGUAUCCUCACUGAUAGUAAAGGAAGCUGGAAAACUCUACAGCUACAUGUCCCUAUACUAUCGCUAACCAACAUUAGCUAUUUGUAGAUAUAAGCAAUAUGCAAUCUCUGACCCAAUCUCACUAAGGACUUUGAACACAUCCGUCCCGCCUGUCGAAACUACACCAACCACCACCACGCUAGAUUGUUGGUGGAGAGCAAGUCCAACCAGGACACUACGACAUAUACUCAAACGCACAAAGCCCGACUUCGGAGUUGCACUCGUAGGCGCUACCUAACCGAGUAUGCAAGCGUGUCUCUGCCGAGCUCAAUCAGGCUCUCACAGGCUAUAGUCAAAGCAAGUAGGUCUAACUGGUCUAACAAUCAAAACUCACGUGCCCUUGGCACAAUCCGAUGCAAAAACAGCAAACUGGGUCCACCGUCAACUGCGACGGCACCCGACAGUACAGAACAGUCUAUACACUACUGUAAAAUAAACUCGGCAUCUGAGCACGAGCGUAAACUCAUCCUACACUAAUCUGGAUAUCCACCGCAUACAAAUUGUGGCGAUACAAACAAACUAUAACUCCUAAAGCUAAAUUUGGUAGUUUUCAGAAAAUGAUAGUGUAGGUUCUAUAGUUUUCUCCUAAGUCAAUUCCAAGUCCAAUAUGUAAAAAUAAAUACUAGCUUAACUCCAAAUUCAGAUUUUAUAAUCUAAUCCAUAAAUUCGAGUACUAGCAAGAAAAUAGACCAAUAAUAUAUGUCGACAAAUGCUAAAACUUAAAAGAUAUUCCAACGAUUUCGGUAAACUUCAACCCACCUCGAAAACGCUAAUCCAACAACGGCGAGAAGUCGAAAGGAGGAAAAACACGUGCUCGCUAGGCCUCCAACGGCGCAACCGCGACGUCCACGCACUCGAACGGCUCCCCGACGCAACGUCGACGUCGAUCCGAGCUCAAUCCAUAGCCUUCACCAAGCAUACCAUUAAACUAGAGAGAGAGAGGGAAAGGAUAAUUAACUUCACUCCCUGCCUCUCCACACCUUUAUGAAGCGGUGGGGAUAAGGAUGCUCCAACCAAUGCAACAAAUGACCAAAAGCCCCUCACCUACCCAAAAUCCCAGGGAUACUACACCCUCCCCACCCCCCGGCUAGCCGCUCGCAAGGGGAAGCCCUCGUGGAGCCACGCGACGCUCGCCAUCGGCACUUCGGCCGCUUGUGAUCGGAAGUCCUUGUGGAGCCACGUGCCGCUCGCCAUCGAAACUUCGGCAAGUGAGUUUUAUUCGAGUCCAAUAGAUCUAAGCCUUUUCAUUUUGAGAUUACCACACUGGUUUAAUUUACGGAGAUAUUGAUAGUGAACUUGUCUUUAUGUAUUUUACUUAUGGCACAUUUCCUUUCCAAUUGUCAAAAGAAAGAAUAGGUAAGAAUGUUGAUAUUCUUAGGGCUACUAAAAAGAGAAGGGGACAUGCUCAUCUUUGAAAUGAAGUGUCUUCAUAUCGAAGCAUAUUAGUUUUCCAAGUAUCUUUAAGAUAUGUUAUUGGGAGAAUAUUGUCCACCCCAUAGUCUAUUGAAACAAGUCAAUUGCUUAGAUGCUCCUUCAUUGUGAUAUUACUUUUCAUUUACUUAGUCUGCUUAACUUUGUAGCUCUUUAUAUUUAUAUUCUUAAGAAUUAUGAAUAUUUAUGCUAAUAACAUAAAUCUAGAAAAAAGUCUAAUUUAAUAGCCAAAUUUUUUAUUCCGAAUUAAUAAUUGGUGAACGAUUAAUUUCUGUAUAAAUUGUGUAUCCGAAUAAUUGGCGAAUCCAUUUUUUAAGCCGUAUUUUGAACGAAUUUAAAAAUUGGGAUACGAAUUUUAUUCGUAUUAUACCUGUAACGAAUUUUUGCUGAAUUCGAAUUAACUAACUACAAUGUGAACGCGCCGCUUCCAGAAAUGAUACGCCCGAUGUGCUUUUUCAUUCUUCUACGUCGCCGACCCAAUCGUUAUCGGUGAAUCCAAUGAGUUCAGAUUUGCCACUGUAAGUAUAAGAAAUAUCGUAGUUGACCGUUUUUUUUAUAUAGCGCAAAAUAUGCUUAGUUGAUUGUAGAUUCAUCUGAUUCGGCUUUUCCAUGUAUCUGCCGAUCAACCGAACACCAUAGGAUAUGUUGGGUCUAGUUGCUGUUAAGUAGCGCAGGCUUCCCGCUAACUGUUUGAAACAUGUAGGAUUAACAGGCUUCUAUCUCCUUUCUUAUUAAGCUUUAAUCCGAUCUCUACUUGGGGGAACGACCAGAUUACAAUCCGUCAUCUGAAACUUUUGAAGUAUUUUUUCUACAUAUUUCUUUUAAGAAAUAAAAAUACCUUCAUAUCUUUGUGAAACUUCGAUGCCUAAAUAAUAAGCUAUAUGGCCCAUAUCGAUCAUCUCAAACUCAUUAAUCAUACUCUUUUUUAAUUAUUCAAUCAUAAUUGAAUUAUUUUUCGUAAAAAUACGAUCACCAACAUAGAAGAAACAAAUAAAACAUCAGCAUUAAAAUUAUUUUUAAUAUAAAAAGCUUGUUCACAUGGGCACUUACGAAAUUCGGCUUUUUUAAAGUAUAGAUCUAUACGUGUGUACCAUGCUCGCGACGCUUGCUUCAAGCCGUACAAUGCCUUUUUUUAAUUUGUAAACUUAAUUUGUCUUCUUCAUCAUUUUGUAUAUAUCCUGGUGGUUGCUCUAUAUAUACUUCAUUGAGAAAGCCGUUGAAGAAUGUGGAUUUGACAUCCAUCUGAUGGAUCUUCCAGUGUUUUUGCAUCGCAAAAGCAAUUAGAAGCCGCACCAACUCCAAUCUAGCAAGGGGAGCAAACACCUCGUGAAAAUCGACACCAGGCUUCUAUUUGUAGCCCUUUACAACGAGUCUAGCUUUGUGGCGAUCGGUUGACCCGUCUUGCUUGUAUUUGGUUUUGUCGACCCGCUUUAUGCCAAUUGCUUUUUGGCCUUCUGGAAGUUUUGUGAAUUCUCAAGUUUUGUGAACUCUUAAUCGCCUUGAUUUCAUCGCACAUGGCUUUACGCCACUUUUCUUCUUUAGCUGAUUCAUCAAACAUGAGAAGACAAUCUAAAAACAUGAUUUAAUAGGUUAAAUCACUAUUAUCAUCGUUGUCAGUAUCGUGAAGAAUAUAAUCUUUUAAUUUUACGGGCAUUGUAAUAUUUUGUUGAGGAUUUUUUCGAACACCUUCCUUCAAAGAAGAAGGCGAAGAACCUGAUAACGACGAGGGAGGUGAUGGUAGUGCAAUCGGAGGAUCCGAUGCAUGCUGUUCUUGAUUCUCCGAAUUAUCUUUAAAUUAAAUGCUAAUACCAUUAUUCAACUUUCUUUUCCUUUCCAAUCACAUGAUUUAGUUUAUCAAAUUUCACAUCUUUACUGAUUAUGAAUUUUUCUGCGAUUGAAUUAUAUAAUUUAUAAACUUUCACAUUUUCUGCAUAUAGAUAAAAACAUGCCUAACUGCUUUGUCAUCCAAUUUUUUUCUUGUUUGCUUUGGAAUGUAUGCAUAUGCCAUGCAUCCAAAAAUACGUAGAUGCACUAAUAAUAGGUUUUCUUCCAUUCCAUACUUCUUUAGGUAUUUUAUUCGCCACGUUACUUUUCGGACACCUGUUUAAAAUAUAAACUGCACAUGAAACAACUUCACCCCAAAAGUUUUUCCAUAUACCUCUCUUAAUAAGCAUGCUUCUUAUUAUUUUUACAAUUGUGUGAUUUUUUCUUUUUGUCACGCCAUUAUGUUGCCAUGAACAGGCCACGUUACUUUGAUGCUCAGUUCCAUGUACCCUGCAAAACUCGUUAAAUUUUAUAAAAAAAAUAUUAUCCUUGACCAUCAAACCGUAGAACUUUCAAAUAAUUCUCGUUUUGUUUUUCAAAAAGUGCUUUAAACUAUUGGAAUGCAGUAAAAGUUUCUAAUUUUUCUAUCAGAAAAUAAACCAAAAAUUUUCUGCUAAAGUCAUCAAUCAAAAUUAUAAAAUAUUUAUUAUUUCUGAUGAAGCAUCUAUUCAUCUCACGUAAAACCAUACAAACCAAUUGUAGAGGUUUUGUUGCUCUACAUGAUUUUUCUUCUGAAAACGGAUCUCUAUAUUGUUUUUUCAAAAUGCAACCUUUACAAAUUUGGUUUAGAUAAUUUAUAUAAGGUAACCCCUCCACUAUAUUUUUACUAGUAAAUGUUUUCAAAAAUAAAAAAUUUAAAUGACCAAACUGUAAAAAUGCCAUAUCCAAUAUUUGUCAUGCACAAUUGUAUUGAAACAUAAUGAAGUGUCAUUAUCCAUUUUUAAAGAAAACAUGCCAUAUCUAGUCAUUGGCUCUUUAACAAUUAAUCUAUUAUUUUUAUCAUUCAAUUCACAAAUUUUCUUUUCAAUAUACAACAAUAUGACAUUUUUCUUAAAUUGGCCAGUUCUUAAUAAAUUACAUCCUAAUCGAGGCACAUAAUAAACAUUAAAUAUUAUAAUAUGAUCACAAUUACGUGUGUUGGGGUAAAAAAAAUUUAAUAGAAGAAUAAUAAUAAUAAAGGUGAAAGAUUAUGGUUGGCACUUAAUAUUGAUUUUGGCUUAUCUAAUUUCUUGAGCUCUAUCUGAGAUAAAUUAUGGUCUAUAUAUUUUUAAUAGGCCCCACAUGUGAAUAAAAGAUUGUGAGCCUCAUGAAAGUCCAAUAAAUUUUGAGUCUAUCUGAUAGUUGGGGUCUCAUUUUAGCCCAAUGAAUAUUACUAUUUGUACCGAAUAAGCUCUAUCAAAGUGGGCCCAAUUGAUUGUACUCAGCCCAACCCAUUGUAUAUAGCCCACAUCCACAUCUCAAAUUCAAUUUUGAAUUUUAAAAUAUUAUGUUCAAAUUUAAUUUUGAAUUUUUAAAAUUUUCAACCAACUAGAAAGUAUCUUUUCUCCUAACAACCUCAAAAAUAUUUUUUUUUCAUUCAAAAUGUGAUUUCAAAUUUCGAAUCCCCAAUCAACUAGAAAAUAUAUCUCCUCUCAAUAACAUCAUUAAAAAUUUGAUUUUGAAUUUUGAAUCUCUAACCCACUUUCCAAAUAUCUCUCAACCCACUAAUACUUAUCCCUCAACUAACCACAUCCAACCCUACAAAUUUCUCGACGUUUUCUUAAAUCUCUCCCAUUUUAUUAUAAAUAGAGGACAAAAAAAGAUAAAAGAAGUAUACACAAGAUAUAGGUACGAUACUACCAUAACUAUACGUCCUUCUACGUACAAAAAAAAAAAAUCCAAAGAAGAAAGGAAAGAUCUUCCUACUGGGUGUGCCAUUUUGUCUGCCACCACGAAUGACACAUCUCGCACGGUUGAUCUUUUUCUGGAUUUUUCACGUGACAGUAUUCAUAAUUCAUAUUAGUAUUUAUAUGUAUAUGUGGGUAUCAAAUAUUGCGGAUCUAUGAUUUCAAAAGAAACAAGCAUCUACUAUUAAUUACCCCUGUGGCUUGAGGCAUUUUCGAUCAAGAGACCUUCAUAAGAAUGAUGGAACGAAUCAUAUCUUAAUGAUUGACCAAAUCCUAGGUGUAUGUACUAGGAUUCAGUUGGAUUUAAAGGUUGAUUCAUAGUUCAUGAGAUUUGGGUAUGAAAUUUGGUUCAUGAGAUUUGGUAUGUGGUUUGGUUCAUGGAAUUGGUGUAUGGUUCAUAAGAUUGGGGAAUAGCUCGGUUCAUGGGGUCAUGAUAACAAAACCCAUUUUCGGUUCAUAGUAAAAGCUCAUUUUGAUUCAUAACAAAACCCAUGUUUGAAGUAGAGUUUGGGUUUUAGGUAUUUGGAUGAUAUGGCUUUAAUAGCUUUGGACCUGAUGCUCUUGGGCCUUCCUAGCUUUAUGGCCUAGUUUUAUUUAUGGACUACAAUGGGUUGGAUUAAAUUGAGUUAGGCUUUUAUUGUGGACUAAAUGUAGGUUACAUUUUUAUUGUGAACUAGAAUGAGUUUGGAUUUAGAUGGAUUUGGAUUUUUAGUGUGAACUUGAUUGGAUUUGGAUUUUUAUUGUGGACUUAAUUGGAUUUGGAUUUUUAUGGUGGACUUGAUUGGGUUUGGAUUUAUAUUGUGGACUAGAAUGAGUUUGGAUUUUUAUGGUAGACUAAAUUGGGUUUGAAUUUUUUUUGUGGACUAGAAUGAGUUUGGAUUUUUAUGGGGGCCUGGAUUAGGUUUGGAUUUAGAAUGGGCUUUGGUUUUUAUAUUGUGGACUUGAUUAGAUUUGGAUUUAGAAUGGGCUUGGUGUUUUUUUAUUAUCGACUUGAUUGGAUUUGGGUUUAGAAUGGGCUUAGGUUUCUUUUAUUGUCGACUUGAUUGGAUUUUGAAUUUUUAUGGUAGACUCGAUUGGUUUUGAUUUUUAGGAUGGACUCGAUUAAGUUUGGAUUUAGAAUUGGCUUCAUCUUCAUAUGGACUGGAUACCGGGUCUGUAGGUGGACUGGAUUUUAUUUUUAUAUGGACCGGAUUCGUGGCCCGUAUGUGGACCUAGUCCACACAUAUACACAAGCAUGAGCCGUGCCGGGCCGAACGGGUCGUGGCUCACGUGGUUCAAGCUACUUGAUUCACUUAAACUUUUUCUUUUCUUUUAUUUUUUUCUUGGUAUUUCUUAUUUUAAUCAUUACCUUACCCCGAUAAGGUCUCUUAGUCAAAUCUUACCCUACCUUGGUAAGGUACCGUAUCUUGCAACUUGGUACAGUCCAAUGGAUUAUCCGAGAGAAAGCUGUUGGACCCUACCAUUGGGCUCCUAUCUGUAUAUAGAAGAGGAGAGGAUGCAUACACUUGGAGUAUUAAGAAGUUAUCUGAAAUAUGCAAAGUGCUUCUUCUUCCUCUUUGUUACAAUGAGCUUUACCUUUCUUCUUUAUAUUUCGCUGGAUCUCUGAAAGUUUAUUAGGUUCAUAUUGUACCACUUUAAAGACGUGCCGAUAGGGCGAACAGUGGUUGUUUUAUUGCUAGAAGUGAUUGCCGGAGCCUCGCACAUGGAGGGGCAAUCUCGCUUUUAAGAUAAUGCUUAGCACAUCUCGACUCACAAGCCUUAUCUGAUUUUCACUGCCUUAUAAUAUUUAGUUCUUAAUCUUUGUAUGUGUUUUAAAAUACUUAUUUAAACUCUGCAUUUCAAAAUAUUUUUUAAAAAGAUAUAAAAAUUUUACUUAAAAUUAGAGAGAAUUUUUUCAAGUAAUACAUCAAAUUAUAUAAGGUAAAUAUUGAGACAGCAUCAGAUAGAAUCGACAACAUAUGAUUUGAUCAUAAAUUGAUUUAUUUCUUUAACAUAACCAAGUGCAGGCAAUUAUUUAUUUUUGAUAAAAUUAAACAGCUUUGAAAGUUCAGAUUCUUAAAUGCCGAAAUUAAAAAUUCACCAAUUAAUUUCAAACUUAACUAGAAGUACACGCACCCAAAGUGCUUCUUCAGUAUCCUUCCAUCUGAACAGCCACACACACAAACAAUUUCUUUCAAUGAUAUUUCAGUAUCUUUGAAACUAGAAAGAACAACGUGUAAGAAAUUAAAAUAGAUUAUUAGCAUAUCAAAGAGUUCGUAAAACAAGACGAGAUCAGAUUUUAAUAAUUAUAUUAAAUUCCGCAGCGAAAAAAAUAUUUAAAAAUCUAUGUGAUUUUUACGAUUUGAUUUGACUCUUAAUUUUUUCCAACACUUGGGAACAGUAAGAUUUAUUCACUUGUCACAUUAAUUUCGACAGACAAUUAGAGAAGGGAGACAAUGAAAGAAAGAAAGAAGAUCAAGACAAUGAUGCCAAAAACAGUGACAAUGCAGAUAAAGCGGAGGAUGAUGUGGAGUGGAAGUGAGAAACGUACGAGCAAUGAAACUCAGACCACGGCCAAAUGGACACACAAAUGCAUAUACACUUGGAAUUAAACUUGACACGCAUAGCCACAUCGAACCAAUCCUCUUCUUACUCAUGGCUUUGGAUUCUGGUGCAGCGCGGAGUAGGUAGUGUACCCCGACGCCCGGCUCCGAUCGCGGGCCCCGUCCGCCACCGGCAUUGCCUC